rnacentral:tRNA from 1 species
GUCUCUGUAGUGUAACAGCAGCAUGGCACACUUCCACUGUGGCGGUCCGGGUGCGAAUCCCGGCAGGGGCU